GUCCUACGGGGGGCAGCAGUGGGGGAUAUUGGACAAUGGGGGGAACCCUGAUCCAGCGACGCCGCGUGAGUGAAGAAGUAUUUCGGUAUGUAAAGCUCUGUCAGCAGGGAAGAAAGAAAUGACGGUACCUGACCAAGAAGCCCCGGCUAACUACGUGCCAGCAGCCGCGGUAAUACGUAGGGGGCAAGCGUUAUCCGGAAUUACUGGGUGUAAAGGGAGCGUAGACGGUUAAGUAAGUCUGGAGUGAAAGGCCGGGGCCCAACCCCGGGACUGCUCGGGAAACUAUUGA
rnacentral:rRNA from 1 species